rnacentral:rRNA from 1 species
AUGUAUGGCCAUACGACCCUGAACAUGACUGAUCACAUCUGAUCUCAGAAGGCAAGUAGGGUCGGGCCUUUUUAAUACUUGAAUGGGGGAAGUUUUCUAGU